rnacentral:rRNA from 1 species
AUUGAACGCUGGCGGCAGGCUUAACACAUGCAAGUCGAGCGGAGUGAUGGUGCUUGCACUAUCACUUAGCGGCGGACGGGUGAGUAAUGCUUAGGCAUCUGCCUAUUAGUGGGGGACAACAUCUCGGAAGGGAUGCUAAUACCGCAUACGUCCUACGAGAGAAAGCAGGGGAUCACUUGUGACCUUGCGCUAAUAGAUGAGCCUAAGUCGGAUUAGCUAGUUGGUGGGGUAAAGGCCUACCAAGGCGACGAUCUGUAGCGGGUCUGAGAGGAUGAUCCGCCACACUGGGACUGAGACACGGCCCAGACUCCUACGGGAGGCAGCAGUGGGGAAUAUUGGACAAUGGGGGGAACCCUGAUCCAGCCAUGCCGCGUGUGUGAAGAAGGCCUUAUGGUUGUAAAGCACUUUAAGCGAGGAGGAGGCUCUUUUGGUUAAUACCCAAGAUGAGUGGACGUUACUCGCAGAAUAAGCACCGGCUAACUCUGUGCCAGCCGCCGCAGUAA